UACGGAGGUGGCAAGCGUUGCUCGGAAUCACUGGGCGUAAAGGGCGCGUAGGCGGGGAGGUAAGUCGGGUGUGAAAUCCCUCGGCCCAACCGAGGAACUGCGCCCGAGACUGCUUCUCUUGAGUCCCGGAGAGGAAGAUGGAAUUCCCGGUGUAGCGGUGGAAUGCGCAGAUAUCAGGAGGAACACCGGUGGCGAAGGCGGAUCUCUGGGCCGUAACUGACGCUGAGGAGCGAAAGCAUGGGUAGCGAACAGG
rnacentral:rRNA from 1 species